rnacentral:rRNA from 1 species
GAUGAACGCUGGCGGCGUGCCUAAUACAUGCAAGUCGAGCGAACAGACGAGGAGCUUGCUCCUCUGACGUUAGCGGCGGACGGGUGAGUAACACGUGGAUAACCUACCUAUAAGACUGGGAUAACUUCGGGAAACCGGAGCUAAUACCGGAUAACAUGUUGAACCGCAUGGUUCAACGGUGAAAGACGGUCCUGCUGUCGCUUAUAGAUGGAUCCGCGCCGCAUUAGCUAGUUGGUAAGGUAACGGCUUACCAAGGCAACGAUGUGUAGCCGACCUGAGAGGGUGAUCGGCCACACUGGAACUGAGACACGGUCCAGACUCCUACGGGAGGCAGCAGUAGGGAAUCUUCCGCAAUGGGCGAAAGCCUGACGGAGCAACGCCGCGUGAGUGAAGAAGGUCUUCGGAUCGUAAAACUCUGUUAUUAGGGAAGAACAAAUGUGUAAGUAACUAUGCACGUCUUGACGGUACCUAAUCAGAAAGCCACGGCUAACUACGUG